AGUUAAAAAGUUAUUAUUUAUAGGUUAAGUUAAGUAAUAUUGAUUAAAAAAAACAAUUUUUUUUUAUUAGUUUGUACGAAAUAAAUUAUUGGUAAAUGUUUAUUAUAGAGUAUUAGUAUUGUGAGAGAGUUUUGGGAAUUGUUGGAAAGAAGAGCUGAGUUCUUGUACCUUGUGUAUCAGGGUUUAUUAAUAUAGGUUUGAGUUUUUAAAUUUCUCGAAUUUAAAAGAGUUGCAAUUAUAUAUUUUUUAUUGUGGCAUAAAUAAUGAAAAUAUAAUUGCUGAGGUGAAAUGCUAUUCGAUUUUAAAUAUAUCUAGUUUUUUAAGAAAAAAAUUUAAUUUUGUUUCUAUAUUAUUAUUAUUUUUUGUUUUUAAUUUUAUAAUAGUGGAAUUAAACACUUGAGGGGAUGAGCUUUUAAGUGUUUUAUAUAAUGAAAAUAAGUUGAGAUUUAUAGUAGGAUUGAAAGUUUUUAUCUUUUAAUAGUGUGUUGUUACUAGUGAUAUUGUUAUGUAAUUUAUAUAUAAUUUAUGUAGAUAUUAAAAUAUAGGUUUAAAUUUUAGAGAUUUAGUUAUAAUGAUAAAAUUAGUAUAAGUAUAAUGUUAAGUUUGGAGAAUAGGGAAGGUUUUGAUUUAAAGGAAUUCGGCAAAUCUAUUUUUCACCUGUUUAAUAAAAACAUGGCUUGUUGAAUAUGAUUUCAGGUCCAACCUGCCCACUGAGUGGUUGAAUGGCCGCGGUAUACUGACCGUGCAAAGGUAGCAUAAUCAUUAGUUUUAUAAUUGAAAGCUUGUAUGAAAGGUUAGAUGAAAAAGUGGCUGUCUCUAGUAAAAUUUAUUAAAAUUUUAUUUUUAAGUGAAAAAGCUUAAAUUUUUGUAAAAGACGAGAAGACCCUAUAGAGUUUAUAUAAGUAUUGAUGAGGUUUAGGUUUAGGAAUUUUAAAUAAAUUUGUUUUUACUUAUUUUAUUGGGGUGAUAAGAAAAUUAGAUGAACUUUUCUUUAUUUUUAUAUUGGUGUAUAGGUUUAUGAUCCUUGGUGAAGAUUAGAAGAAUAAAUUACCUUAGGGAUAACAGCGUAAUUUUUUUUAGAGUUCUUAUCGAAAAAAAAGAUUGCGACCUCGAUGUUGGAUUAAAAUUUAUUAAUGGUGUAGAAGCUAUUAAGUUAGGUCUGUUCGACCUUUAAAAUUUUACAUGAUCUGAGUUUAGACCGGUGUGAGCCAGGUCGGUUUCUAUCUUUAUAAAAGUAGAAUAUUUUAGUACGAAAGGACCAAAUAUUCAAUUUAAAAUUAGUGUUUAGAAUUAUAUUAA
rnacentral:rRNA from 1 species